rnacentral:tRNA from 1 species
GUUUCCAUAGUUAAAUGAUAACGGUGGUUUUUCAAGCCAUUAUCCUUGGUUAAAAUCCGAGUGGGAAUU